GUGGAUUAGAUACCCUGGUAGUCCACGCCCUAAACGAUGCGAACUGGACGUUGGGUGCAAUUGAGCAUUCAGUGUCGAAGCUAACGCGUUAAGUUCGCCGCCUGGGGAGUACGGUCGCAAGACUGAAACUCAAAGGAAUUGACGGGGGCCCGCACAAGCGGUGGAGUAUGUGGUUUAAUUCGAUGCAACGCGAAGAACCUUACCUGGCCUUGACAUGUCGCGAAGUCUGCAGAGAUGCGGAUGUGCCUUCGGGAACGCGAACACAGGUGCUGCAUGGUUGUCGACAACU
rnacentral:rRNA from 1 species